rnacentral:rRNA from 1 species
ACGCACGCAGGCGGCAUGCCUAACACAUGCCCGUCGAGCGAGACCUUCGGGUCUAGUGGCGCACGGGUGCGUAACGCGUGGGAACCUGCCCUUAGGUUCGGAAUAACUCCCCGAAAGGGGUGCUAAUACCGGAUAAUGUCUUCGGACCAAAGAUUUAUCGCCUUUGGAUGGGCCCGCGUUGGAUUAGCUAGUUGGUAGGGUAAAAGCCUACCAAGGCGACGAUCCAUAGCUGGUCUGAGAGGAUGAUCAGCCACACUGGGACUGAGACACGGCCCAGACUCCUACGGGAGGCAGCAGUGGGGAAUAUUGGACAAUGGGCGAAAGCCUGAUCCAGCAAUGCCGCGUGAGUGAUGAAGGCCUUAGGGUUGUAAAGCUCUUUUACCCGGGAUGAUAAUGACAGUACCGGGAGAAUAAGCUCCGGCUAACUCCGUG